CGUCCGCCACUGGGGAGGGGCUGGAAGAGGGUGAGGGUUGUCCAUGCGGUGGCCUGAGGGUCAUCCAAGGUAGUCCAAGGGUCAUCCAAAGUGGCCUGAGGGUCAUUCGAGGUGGGCCAGGGUGGCCUGAGGGUCACUCCAGGUGGUCCACGGUGGCCUGAGGGUCAUCCGAGGUGGGCCAGGGUGGCCUGAGGGUCAUUCAAGGUGGGCCAGGGUGGCCUGAGGGUCAUCCGAGGUGGGCCAGGGUGGCCUGAGGGUCAUUCAAGGUGGGCUGGAGUAGUCCAUAGUGGCCUGAGGGUCAUUCCAGCUGGUCCAAGGCUCAUUCCAGGUGGUCCAAGGGUCAUCCAAGGUGGCCUGACGGUCAUUCGAGGUGGGCCAGGGUGGUCUGAGGGUCAUUCAAGGUGGUCCAAGGGUCAUCCAACAUGGUCCAGGGUGGCCUGAGGGUCGUUCAAAGUGGGCCAGAGUGAUCCAAGGUGGUCCAAGGGUCAUCCAAGGUGGUCCACGGUGGCCUGAGGGCAUUCGAGGGGGUCCAAGGGUCAUUCAAGGUGGUCCAAUGGUCAUCCAGCAUGGUCCACGGUGGCCUGAGGGACAUUGGAGGUGGGCCAAGGUGGCCUGAGGGUCAUUCAAGGUGGACUGGAGUAGUCCAUGGUGGCCUGAGGGUCAUUCCAGGUGGUCCAAGGGUCAUCCAUGGUGGUCCACAGUGGCCUGAGGGUCAUUCAUGGUGGUCCAAAGGUCAUCCAAAAUGGUCCAGGGUGGCCUGAGGGUCAUUCGAGGUGGGCCAGGGGUGAUCCAAGGUGGUCCAAGGGUCACUCAAGGUGGUCCACAGUGGCCUUGAGGUUCAUUCCAGGUGGUCCAAGGGUCAUCCAAGGUGGCCUGAGGGUCAUUCCAGGUGGUCCAGGGUGGCUUGAGGGACAUUCCAGGUGGUGCAACGGUCAUCCAACGUGGUCCAAGGUGGGCCAAGGGUCAUCCAAGGUGGGCCAGGGUGGCCUGAGAGUCAUUCAGGGUGGUCCAGGUUGGCCCAAGGAGAUCCAAGGUGGUCCAACAUCCAUCCAAGGUGGCCCAAGGUGGUUGAAGGUCUGGCCAAUGUCAUGCAAGGUGG